rnacentral:tRNA from 1 species
GCCCGAGUGGCGAAAUUGGCAACCGCAGUAGACUUAAGAUCUACCGAUAGUAAUAUCUUGUGGGUUCGAGUCCCACCUCGGGCA